rnacentral:rRNA from 1 species
UACGUAGGGCGCAAGCGUUAUCCGGAAUUACUGGGCGUAAAGCGUGCGCAGGCGGUGAUGUAAGACAGUUGUGAAAUACCCGGGCUCAACCUGGGAACUGCAUUUGAAACUGGGCGUCUAGAGUGCAGGAGAGGAAAGCGGAAUUCCUAGUGUAGCGGUGAAAUGCGUAGAGAUUAGGAAGAACACCAGUGGCGAAGGCGGCUUUCUGGACUGUAACUGACACUGAGGCUCGAAAGCGUGGGGAGCAAACAGG